UAUAUUUUUUUUAUUAUUAUUUUAUUAUUCUUUCUGCUAGUGCUGCGCAAAGAACAAUCCAGCCUCUUCGAGUUAUAUUACAUUACUACUCAAUUCUGUGAUAUCUGUAGACAGUAUUCACAAGCACAUCUGUAAUCUGUUGAGGAGUAAUCUCCAGAGAAAGAGAAAUGGCCGAGGCAGUUGUCUCCAGCGUUGUAGAAGCACUCAUUUCAAACUUGACUUCCGGUCCUAUCCAGCAGUUUAGAGGGUAUAUGAAUGUGGAAGAGGAACUUGGGAGGCUCCAGCAGGCUGUUUCCAGAAUCCAACCUGUUCUUUUGGAUGCAGAGGAGAGGUACACUCAGAGCUAUGAGGUCAAAAUUUGGCUUGGAAAGCUUAAAGAUGCAUUUGAUGAUGCUGAUGACUUAGUGGAUGAUUUCUCCACUGAGGCUCUGCGGCGAGAACUGAUGCACCGGGGUAGAAGCUUAAAACUGGUACGUAUCUUCUUAUCCAAGCUUGCAUAUGGUUCAAAAAGGCUGCCUAAGUUUAAAGCAGUUAAUAAGAGAAUAGAGAAAAUUGCGUCCGAAGGUGAUAGAUUCCAGUUUAAUAACCGGCGUCCUGAGAUGAAGGAGAGAAGAGUGACUCUAUCUUCUCCUUCGUCACGCGAGGUAGAGAUUAUUGGGAGAGAGAAGGAAAAGAGUGCAAUUGUAGAUGAUCUAGUGAAAGUGGAUAAUAUCCGUGACAAAGCAAAUGUCUCAGUGAUUUCAAUAGUUGGGAGUGCAGGUGUGGGAAAGACUGCACUAGCUCAAUUUGCAUACCAUCAUGAGACUGUGAGAAAACAUUUCGAGCUACGAUUAUGGGUGUGUGUCACUGACUCCUUUGAUUUGAAAACUAUUGUUGAAGAGAUUGUGGAAUCAGCAGCCGCAGCCGGGGACGGGGAGAGACUGGAAAAUCUCGGGUUGAGUUCGUUGUUGGUGCGCGUUCGAAUAAUGAUUGAUGGGAAGCGGUUUUUACUUGUACUGGAUGAUGUAUGGAAUGAAGAUGAUGAAAAAUGGUCCAGCUUGAAAAAACUGUUAAUGUGUGGCGCGAGGGGAAGUAAGAUUGUGACUACUACACGUAGUAAUGUGGUUGCAGACAUUAUGCGCACGGUUCCAAUGUUUGUUUUGGAACCUCUGUCGUUCAAUGAUUCACUGGCUUUAUUUAAGAAGAUGGCAUUUGGAGACGGAGAGGAGCGAACGAGUGAAGCUCUUGAAUCCAUUGGGCAGGAGAUUGUACAGAAAUAUGCUGGUGUUCCUCUUGCCAUAAGGACUAUAGGGAGUCUGUUAUACUUCAAAAAUUUAGAAGGGGAUUGGUUGAAAUUCCAGCAGGAUGAACUUCCAAAAAUUUUACAACAAGAAAAUGAUAUUUCUGCAAUACUUAAGUUGAGUUACGAUCAUCUCCCGUCGCAUUUGAAACAAUGUUUUGCUUACUGUAGAUUGUUUCCUAAAGAUUAUGAAAUUGAUGUACAAAAACUGAUUAAACUUUGGAUGGGGCAAGGGUUUCUCAUUUCAUCAAACAAAGAUCAAUCUCUAGAAGAUGUUGGUUAUAUGUAUUUUAUGGAUCUAUUCCAGAGGUCCUUUUUCCAAGAGGUAGAAAAAGAUGAAUGGGGCAUUGUAAGAAGUUGCAAAAUGCCAAAAAUCUUGCAUGAUCAUGCAAUUUUAGUGGCAGGGGUUGUGAGCUGUGCGUCAAAUCCAAAUGGGGACAAUUUAAAUGAUAGAGUCCGUCAUGUGUCAUUCGAUUUUAAUUUGGAUUCAUCACAGCAAUUUGUGAGACGCUUGCUUAAAGCCAAGAGAAUACAGACAUUUCUAUUGCCUAGUCAAUCAUGGCUUCGAAACGAAGAAAAGUUCAGCAAGUUCACUUGUAGAGCAAUUUUUUCAGGAUGCAAGUGUUUACGUGUGUUGGAUUUACAUGAUUCAGGGAUCAAGGAGGUUCCAAGUAGCCUCUGUAAGUUGAAGCAUUUAAGAUAUCUCGAUCUCUCUAAUAAUGGAAUCAAAAAGCUUCCAAGUUCCAUAACCAGCCUGCUGAAUUUGCAAACAUUGAAACUUUCGAAUUGUGAUGUGCUUAAAGAAUUGCCAAUGGACAUUAAAAAUUUAGUCAGGCUUCGGCAUCUUGAGAUUGAUGGCUGUGAUAAAUUGGCUCAAAUGCCAUGUGGACUGGGACAAUUGACUUCUCUUCAGACAUUAUCUUUAUUUGUAUUAAGGAGUCAGUCUGUCUACAGACAGAGUGGCAAGCUAAGUGAACUGAAGAGGCUAAACAACUUGAGCAGAGGGCUUGAGAUUUUACAUCUAGAACAGUUGUCAGAUGCUUCAACAGAAACUAAGAAUGCAAAUUUGAAGGAGAAACAAAGUCUUCGAGCCUUGACUCUAAGAUGGUAUCGACAAGAUGAUGCUGAUGUUGAUGUGGAGAGUGACGAGAAGUCAUUGGAAGGCCUCCAGCCACAUCGAAAUCUGAAAACGUUGUGGGUGAUAGGGUAUGGGGGUAUGAAGUUUCCAAGUUGGCUAUCUUCUCUCGUAUAUCUUGUUAAAUUUACUCUCUGCAAUUGUCUCAAGUUCCAGCAUCUACCGCCAUUAGAUCAACUCUCUUUUCUCAAGAGUCUUAAACUUCAAAGGUUGCAUGCCCUGGAGUACAUAACAGGCAGUGGUGGAAAAGACAAGUUCUCUUCUUCAGCAGUAUCAAUAACAUUCUUCCCAUCCUUAAAGGAACUUGUACUUUGGGAUUGUCCCAAUCUGAAGGGAUGGUGGAGGGAUGUUCCAGUUGGUGAUGAUAAGAGUGCUGUUAGAACAACACAAUCAUCAAUGACAGAUCAUCAACAACAGUAUCUAUUGCUGCCUUCAUUUCCCUGUCUUUCAAAAUUAGAAAUCCAGUUUUGUCCAAUGCUGAAUUCCAUUCCCUUCUAUCCACAUCUUGAUGAACAGCUGGUCCUGAGUAAUGCCAAGCUGACACUUUUGCAACAGACAAUGUGGUAUAUGGCAGCAUCACAAGGCCCAACAACUGUAGAUAUGUCAGUUCAUUCUUCUACUCUGCCCUCUUCCUCCUUGGGCCCUCUUUCCAAAUUAAAUUCUUUGACUUUAACUGGCAUUAAGGAGCUAGAGUGUUUGCAAGAUGAAUGGCUGCAAAACCUCACUUCUCUUGAGCGUCUCAGCAUUUCAGGGUGCCCAAGACUAAUGUUCUUAUCACAAGGUAUUCAGUAUCUCACCUCCCUUAAGUUUAUGGACAUUAGGGACUGCGAGGAGCUUGAUCUUUCCAGCGAUGAAGGUGAUGGCCAGCGAUGGAAAGGACUGAGGAACCUCUGUUCCCUCACUAUUUGGGGAAUCCCAAAGUUGAAGACUCUCCCGAAUGGGCUGCAAUAUGUUAUGCCUCUUGAAAAGCUCCGGAUCCUAAAUUGUCCAAAUUUAAUAGCUCUAGAAGACUGGAUCAGCAGUUUCACAUCUCUUAAUAGGCUUGUUAUUUCUAAAUGCCGCAAAUUGGCUUUGCUGCCUCAUGGAAUGAGUAGCCUUAAGUCUUUACGUAGACUGGUGAUUGAUGAUUGUCCCAUGUUAUUGCGAAGAUGCCAGGGGGAAACUGGUGAGGAUUUGCACAAGAUUAAACACAUCCCAGAAAUUUCUGAAAGGCUGACUUCUCGGGACUUUGAUUAAUCUCUUGUUUCAUGCUUCAUUCAGCUUGUUUAGAACCAAAUACUGCUGAUAGAGAGUUGGGGUUCAUUAGACAUCUUUGGCAGAUGAAAUAAGAACAGCUUGUACAAAAUGGAACAUGGUGGAGGAUGCGGAUCAAGAUAGAUUGAAGAAUUCCUGUAUUAACGGCAUUAAAGGGCUACCAAACCCAAUCGACCAAUAAAAAGACUACCCCACAAACUCCGGACCAACUGAGAGUCAAUACUGUCUACCUCAGUUUCCUGUAAGCAGAUGGCAGACCACAUCGCAAUUCCGGACCCACAACAAAAUUCUUCACCAAUCUUUUCUAUUUCCACAAAACUUCCUUCUCCAUAAGAGCUUAAAGAAUGGUGGUUUCGAGUUACUCCUCCAAAGAGUCAACAUUCCACUUCAAACCUUUCUGGCCCAUAUAUUAUAUAACAGUGAAGAAAAUGCAGUGCUGGAAGUCAAUGUACAGCUUUUCCAGAUGAGAACUAAGUGAAGCGGUACACUCAGAUCCAAUUGUUGAAUAAUGUGCCAGACGCAUCACUUCUAUCUCCGGUAUAGUCACCUCUACAAUCUUACAGACAAGAAGAACUUCGCAGACAGGUACCUUGUUCAUACCGAAGAGUUGAUUUAUCCGCUUGCCUUAAAAUAUCUUCAGCAUUAUAGUCUAUAAAAAACGACAUCCGUGAUGGAGGAUUAGAAGAUUCAUGCACAGCAGCUAUAAAUCGCUCCGCAACCUGUUCCAAGGGGAAAGUCAAGGCCUGUGAGUAUGGUACAACAUGUCAUCAUUUCCCUAAUAUUUCUCUUUCAAAAUCUUUGGGUGAGUGCCAAAUAUUUGCUUGUAGGAAACUCACAAUAGCUACAACAAGCACACAAACAUAAGGCAUAAGAAAUUCAUAAAAGCAUUUCAAAAUAUUUUUCAAGAUUUCAAUUAAGUUUGAAAGGCAAUUGUGUAAAUUACAAUUUAAUGAGUUCAUAUGUAAAUAGGAAAACAACAAUAUACCAUAAACAAAGUAGCUAAAGUUGGCAUACCAUCCGAGGAGUUAUUUCUUUCAAAUUAUAGGCUCUUGAAUAGUCCAGUAUUGUCCAAUGUUGAAAAGAAGAUUGUAAACCAUGUAAACUCUUUUCUGAAGAAUCAGGCAAACAAUCCAUUGCCUGUUGAACUUGUUCAGGUGGAGAUAAUUUAGAAUCUAUGCAUUUGACUUCUUGUUCUUUAA